rnacentral:rRNA from 1 species
CAUGCAAGUCGAACGCUUCUUUUUCCACCGGGAGCUUGCUCCACCGGAAAAAGAGGAGUGGCGAACGGGUGAGUAACACGUGGGUAACCUGCCCAUCAGAAGGGGAUAACACUUUGGAGACAGGUGCUAAUACCGUAUAACAAUUCCAAAACCGCAUGGUUUUGAUUUGAAAGGCGCUUUCGGGUGUCGCUGAUGGAUGGACCCGCGGUGCAUUAGCUAGUUGGUGAGGUAACGGCUCACCAAGGCCACGAUGCAUAGCCGACCUGAGAGGGUGAUCGGCCACAUUGGGACUGAGACACGGCCCAAACUCCUACGGGAGGCAGCAGUAGGGAAUCUUCGGCAAUGGACGAAAGUCUGACCGAGCAACGCCGCGUGAGUGAAGAAGGUUUUCGGAUCGUAAAACUCUGUUGUUAGAGAAGAACAAGGAUGAGAGUAACUGUUCAUCCCUUGACGGUAUCUAACCAGAAAGCCACGGCUAACUACGUGCCAGCAGCCGCGGUAAUACGUAGGUGGCAAGCGUUGUCCGGAUUUAUUGGGCGUAAAGCGAGCGCAGGCGGUUUCUUAAGUCUGAUGUGAAGCCCCCGGCUCAACCGGGGAGGGUCAUUGGAAACUGGGAGACUUGAGUGCAGAAGAGGAGAGUGGAUUCCAUGUGUAGCGGUGAAAUGCGUAGAUAUAUGGAGGACACCAGUGGCGAAGGCGGCUCUCUGGUCUG